AUACGUAGGUGGCAAGCGUUGUCCGGAAUUAUUGGGCGUAAAGCGCAUGUAGGCGGUUUGGUAAGUCGGUCGUGGAAAUGCGGUGCUUAACGCCGUAUGGCGAUUGAAACUGCUGAACUUGAGUGCAGGAGAGGAAAGGGGAACUCCCAGUGUAGCGGUGAAAUGCGUAGAUAUUGGGAAGAACACCGGUGGCGAAGGCGCCUUUCUGGACUGUGUCUGACGCUCAGAUGCGAAAGCCAGGGUAGCGAACGGGGUUAGAUACCCCGGUAGUCCUGGCCGUAAACGAUGGGUACUAGGUGUGGGAGGUAUCGACUCCUUCCGUGCCGGAGUUAACGCAAUAAGUACCCCGCCUGGGGAGUACGGCCGCAAGGCUUAAACUCAAAGGAAUUGACGGGG
rnacentral:rRNA from 1 species